rnacentral:tRNA from 1 species
GGGGGUAUAGCUCAGUUGGCUAGAGCGAUAGGUUCGCAAUCUAUAGGCCAGGGGUUCGAAUCCCCUUACCUCCA